UACGUAGGGCGCAAGCGUUAUCCGGAAUUAUUGGGCGUAAAGAGCUCGUAGGCGGCUUGUCGCGUCGACUGUGAAAACCCGUAGCUCAACCAUGUGGUCUGCAGUCGAUACGGGCAGGCUAGAAUUCGGUAGGGGAGACUGGAAUUCCUGGUGUAGCGGUGAAAUGCGCAGAUAUCAGGAGGAACACCGGUGGCGAAGGCGGGUCUCUGGGCCGAUAUUGACGCUGAGGAGCGAAAGCGUGGGGAGCGAACAGG
rnacentral:rRNA from 1 species